CCUUCUGUAUUCUAUUUGCUUCCAGCGUCUUCCAUUUUGCUCAUCACUUUUCUGCUUCUCUUCCUCCCUCUUUCCCUUCCCCUCUCUCUGCCUCAAAUUCAAUCCGAUCAUCUAAAAGCGUAGUUCCUCUAUUGUUCUCCGCCGUUUUCCAGAAAUCGAUCAUUGUUGCUGCUGUAGUAGUCAUCGUCCACGCAGUCCAUCACCGUCCGACCACACAAACCUUAACGGCGGCCGGAGAACCACAGAACCAAGAGUAAAAAAAAAAAGAGAGCGGGAAGCAGCCAAAAUACAGAGAAGAUGGCAAGAGAGAGGAGAAAUGGAAAGCAGACAAACAAAAACCCUGUUGCAAACGUGGUGUGCUAGCGAGAUUUCUCUGUCUUUCACUGCUGGCUGCUCUGGCUUUUUGAUUGUUCAAGAUAUUUCUUUCCGUUUUCUCUCCUGACUUCCCCUUGCAUGCAUAGCCCUGCAUCCCUGCCGCGAUCUCGCCUUCGAUUCCAACAAGUGCGAUCAAUCUGGCCCUUCAAUUCCCCGCAUAAUCCUCCUUUUCCAGGCCUCUCCGCCCAUCUGUCCUGAACGAAACCGUGGAUCGACUGCUUCCCUUGAAAUCAAACCCUAAUUUUGCCCCCAAACGAAUUCGAACCCAGCCAAACUCAAAUCCCUGCAGAUUUUUUUGCCUUUAAAAGGUUUGGAUCGGUGCCGAUUGAUGUUGGAUUUUGUGAGGCUGGAUUUCUUACCUCUAAGAUUUGUUGGUGUUUUCUCUAUAUUGUUAGAUCUGUGGCACGGUGCGUCUCCUUAUCACCACCAAUGGAAGUUUUGAUCAGAAGAGGAGGCACAGGCAACUGGUCAGGAGACUUGGCUCGAUUUUCGACGGGGGACAAAGAUUUAGAUGGUAUACUCUGCUUCUAUUUGUCUAUUUCUUUGUGUAAUUCAAUUCAAUGUGUUUUCAUGAAACUAAAUGCGUUGUAGUGAUACUAAUAUUCAAUUCUCUAGAUGCAUAUGCUUCUCUUUCUGAUCUAGCACAUUUGAUAGAUAAUAAAGCUGUACAAUUGCACAUUCGAUAAAACACCCCGUCUUCCUUUGCUGACAAGCCGAAUGAUUAUGAGCUUCCAAUCCUUUGAGCAAUAUUUUUACCAAUUGUUUUUUUGUUGAGUAAACCAAUUCUUUUUUUAUUAAAGGAAAGAAUGCUUUUACCAAAUUGCUUACAAAAUUCAAACAUACUCACCUAUAUGCAGGUUUUCUAAAAUAUCAUCCUAUUUUUCAAUUCGUAGUCAAUCAAUGGUCCAAAUUGUUCACUUUUAGAAUUUCUUACAAGAAUACAUAUAAUCAGCUAAACCAACAAUUGAUUAGUUGUUCGAUUGUUUUGACAUUUUCAUUACAAUUUUGCCUAAUGAGUUUCGUGAUUUUGUGUAUAUUUUAGGAUUUGAAUGAUUGGUUGCGAGAUUAACUCUUGAAUAUGGAAGUUAAAUAUAAACACAGUUUCGAUCACUAAAAUGCAUUAUGAAAAAUGAGAAUCAAACUUUACAAAGAUAUAAUAAUAAAUAGAACUCCAAAAUACUCGAUUGGACUAGAAUAAUUUAAUACGUUUUGACUUCGUUGGGGGAUGAUCAAAAGAAUUGAAAACAAAGAGAAGAAACAACAAUGAAACAUAAUACAUAGUAGUCAUACUAAUAUUCAAUUCUCUAGAUGUAUAAGAGAUUUGAGGAAUUUUGAGAGCAUGGUGGCUAGCUAAGGUGUUGUUUUAAUGUGUUGUUUUGAGGAUUCUGAAAUCAUGAGAUAGUUGACAUUGUAUGUUAUACUGAAUUAAGAGCACACUUUCAUAUAGAAUUUCAUUUAUCUUAACUCAAUCUAACAUUAGUUCUACCAAUUUUUAUCUGAUUUCUUUUAACAUAUCUCUCUUUUUUUCUCAUUCAAAUAUGCAUUACUGAUGCUUUGUUAUGCACCUAGCUCUUUGCUUCUGUUGCCUACUAUCAUUUUCUACUAUUGUAAUAUAACUUUUUACAUGUUUUAUGUACUUUUAAAACCCGCAGCAACGCGCGGGCUCUUUUACUAGUAUUCACUAUAUCAUGACAAAUUGCUUCUUUGCACACACUUAUUAAUUAAAAUUUAUAUACUGCAAUGUUAGAAAUAUUCUUAUCCAUCCAAUUUAUAAUCCCCCAGUAACACGCGGACAUCACUAUCUAGUUAAUAUCUAAAACUUAAAACAAAUGAAAAUUGAACUAUAAAAAUACAAAAUGAAAAUGGUUGGAAUUUAGCAACUUGUAAAUAUUAGGCAAUGUGAUUUCAAAGGAGAUUGAACUGUGGUUGGACUUAAAUAACUAACAAAUCACAUAUUAAGCUAUACGGAGAAAAUGGUUAUGUAUUCCAUUUUCUUACACUCAAAAAAAAUUCUGGUUUAUUAGAUUUUUUUUUAUUCAUUUUUAGUGACGUGGGAUAAAGUUCCUAAUAUACUCCUAAAUUUAACAAAAAAAAAUGAUGGCGUUAAUGAAAAUGAUCAAUGGUACAACACAUUGUAGAGUUCGAAGACUAAAAAACUAAUAUGAGAGUUUAGAGACCAAAAUUAAACUAGGAGUAACGUUCAGAAACCAUUGGUACAAUCAAGUGUUUCUUAAGAAUAAUCAAAUGGUUGAAAAUCGAAUGGAAUCGUAUAAUAAAUUGGUUCGGCUGUAGUUUUGAGUUUUUAUUUUAGAUGUAUCCUCUUACAGGUUGAAAUAAAAAUGGUUUUCUUUUUUUUUUUUUUUUGAAGCGAAGAUACGAUAUUUAUUAAGUAAAUUAGAAUUCGUACAAAUUGAGGAUAGUGCGCAUAAUGGGCCUCGAAGGAAAAGAGUGUCUUGCACAACAAGAGAACUAUCCUCAAAUGAACAAUGGAAAAGAAUUACAAUCCCUCCCAAAUCUAGAGGCUCCUCAAACCACAUUACCUCCUGAGCACUAUUAAUUUCCAUCCGAGCAAGCUGAUGGGCUGCCGAGUUCCCUUCUCGUUGAAUAUGACUAACCACCGAAUCGACCACUCCAUGAGAAGGCAUCCCAGAUCACUGAUUAUAGGACCUAAGGCAGAGUUGUCGUCCCCAGUCCCCUGCAUGGAAGCCAACACCAACACAGAGUCUACAUCGAACUGAAUCUUCCCCUCCACCGUACAAAUAGUGCCCACCAAUAUUGCAGCUCUACGAGCUACAAAGAAUUCAGCAUGCAAUGCAGAGUUUGCCCUCUCAAUGGGCCCAACAGCAGGGACAAUACACUCCCUCAAAUGACUUCGAAUCACCACCCCAAAACCUCCCCGGUUACUUCUAUUGUUCCAAGCUCCAACGAAGUUGCACUUAACCCAUCCCUCCGCAGGUCUCCCCCACUUCUGAUGCUCUCGGCUUGCCUUCCUCGCCAGUGGCUUGUGCCACUUAUGAAAUUCCUACAUCCAGCCCUCGGUACGAAGCAUAAUUUUAAGCGGCGGUAACCAGAUAAGCAUGUUGAAUUUAAUGUUAGUGAAAUUUUGAAGAUUGACGACAUGUUGAAUUUUGGCCAACAAUAUUGUAAAAAAAGGCAAAAGAAAGAAAAACUAUUAUAAUGUCAUUGGUUUGGUCGCAAUUUUUUUGUGAAACCAAUCCAACCUGAACAAUGCCCGUCCCUAACGUAUAUGAUUAUAAGUGCUUGAAAAUUCCUGCAUACGUUCAUGGUCAUGUGAGACCCACGUGAUUUAACUUGUCACGACUUUAUGUAAUUUUCAAAAAGAGAUCGAGUCAUUUACAAUUUUCAAAUCUUUAACAAUUGAAAUCACUGUUUUAUGGUAAUUAUACAAAAUUACUUUAAUUAUGAGUCGAAUCAUAAUGUCAUGUCUUAUAUUUUACAAAUUACAACUAAUUAGUACUACGUUUUAGUGAUAUUCCUCUUCAGUUGCAAGUGAGAGGUCUUAAAUUCGAUUAUCGCCGAAGGUGAAUUUGAACCACAUUAUUGCUAGCUCAUUGUGAAGCUAAACUCAUCCCCUCUCUCUUAGUGUAGAUAAUAUCGUUUAUUAAAAAAAAAAACUACAAUGUCAUACAUCAUCUUACGAAUUUAUUGUAAUGUCAAAUCCUCCGUCAUUUUUUCUGUUAAUCAUCCCCACCUCCUCUUCUGGACACCAAACCCGAUUGAACCCGCCGUCCCUUCGACCCCAGCUCCAGUGCAACCGCCUCCAUCGAUUUCAAGAUCUCCAAAGCCCUACAGCAACGAUUAGUCCCUAGUAUCGUUGCCAAAGAUGAUGCUAGCUCUGAAUUCGAAUCUAAACCCGAAUCCGACAAACAAGUUUAUUUCUUGUUGAUUUUACUGAAAUUUUUCAUUCAAUCAAUUCAUUAUAUAUAAUUUAAUAAAUUAAGUGUUGGAUCUUCGACAAAGCUCUACACACCCUCCCAAAGAUCUUGGACAAAACACAACAGUGCAUGUGGGUCAAGAGGUGAUGGAUCCAAUGGAAAAAGGGGAAAGGAUGUAGGAUGGAGGAAACAAAGGGAUGAGAAAGCCAUAAUGGAAAGGAAGAAAAUGAAUUGUUUGAAGACAUGUAAUUGAACAAAUAGUGCGGAGAAUAGGAGAAGGAAAGUUGGAAUUGGGGGCUUUCCGGUCUAUAUGACGAAGGAGUUGAGGUUUGGGGUCGGAGAAAAUUUGGUAGAAGAAUAGGAGGAAAAUUAUGCUGAUAAACACACAAAGAAAGGAAAUCGAAAGGAAACCAGGGUUGCCACCAACCCUUGCUAAAGCAAGGGCUGGCGGCUAAUUGAUUUUUCGAAUCUGUAAACUCACAUAGGCGGUGAGAAUAGCUCUCAAUAGAAGAGAAGCUUGAAUAUGUUUUCUUGCUCAAUUUAGGUCCAACAAGAAGCUCAAGUCUUAAAACUGCAUUUAACCUUAAAUCGGAGCGAGUCUUACUUUAAGAGUGCAACUUGUGUCAAACCAAAAUUGAGUUGCAUUGUGGUAUGAUUGGGUUUAGAUUCUAGAAAUGGGCUCUAUAUUUGUCACAUUAAUAAUUUAUUCGUAUCCACGAUGAGAUGUAAUUGUCACGUAUAAUUUUAACAUUUUAAAACUUAAGGCAGUAAUGUAUAAAAAUUGAAAGAUUGUAUUUACUUCAUAGGUAUAAUUUGUACUAAGGAUAGUAAAGGUUAACUGCAACUGUUUAAUUAAUUGGUGAAUUGUCUUGUUUUUUUUUUUUUGUCUCUUUUAUAUCCUUCAAUGUAGACUAAUUUUUUAUUUUUAGCAUGAUUUGCUUUCUAGUUGUUCAUUUUAAAGUUCCAUUUGAGAUUACUUGUAGAAAAUUAAGUGCGCUUCAUGACAAUUAAAUGCGUUGCUAACAAUAUAAUCAAACUCACUUACAUCAGGUAAGCCAAAAGCGUCUACAGUUUCUCCUCAAAG